UACGGAGGGUGCGAGCGUUAAUCGGAAUUACUGGGCGUAAAGCGCACGCAGGCGGUUUGUUAAGCUAGAUGUGAAAGCCCCGGGCUCAACCUGGGAUGGUCAUUUAGAACUGGCAGACUAGCGUCUUGGAGAGGGGAGUGGAAUUCCAGGUGUAGCGGUGAAAUGCGUAGAUAUCUGGAGGAACAUCAGUGGCGAAGGCGACUCCCUGGCCAGAGACUGACGCUCAUGUGCGAAAGUGUGGGUAGCGAACAGG
rnacentral:rRNA from 1 species